UUGCUAGCCAGAUACUGACAUUGAGGCACGAAAGCGUGGGGAGCAAACAGGAUUAGAUACCCUGGUAGUCCACGCCCUAAACGAUGAGUACUAAGUGUUGGUUUAAGAUCAGUGCUGAAGUUAACGCAUUAAGUACUCCGCCUGAGUAGUACGUACGCAAGUAUGAAACUUAAAGGAAUUGACGGGAGCCCGCACAAGCGGUGGAGCAUGUUGUUUAAUUCGACGAUACGCGAAGAACCUUACCAGGUCUUGACAUCCGGUUGUUAGAUAUAGAGAUAUAUUGAGAUUGGCCGAGACAGGUGGUGCAUGGUUGUCGUCAGCUCGUGUCGUGAGAUGUUGGGUUAAGUCCCGCAACGAGCGCAACCCUUAUUUCUAGUUACCAUCAUCCAGUUGGGGACUCUAGAGAGACUGCCAGUGAUAAAUUGGAGGAAGGUGGGGAUGACGUCAAAUCAUCAUGCCCUUUAUGACCUGGGCUACAAACGUGCUACAAUGGCUGAAACAAAGAGAAGCAAAAUCGCGAGAUGGAGCAAACCUCAUAAAAGCAGUCUCAGUUCGGAUUGAAGUCUGCAACUCGACUUCAUGAAGUUGGAAUCGCUAGUA
rnacentral:rRNA from 1 species